CUCUGUGAUCUAACCAGAACCAAACGGAACCUAUAGAGAGUCCAAUCCUUGCCCGACAGCCCUGAGCCAGGCCCAUAGCUGCCUAGCCUACAGCACUGGGGGCAGAGGGAGGUCCUCUGGAUUAUGGCACAGGGGGAAUUUGCAGGAAAAACUCCCCACAAAUUAGCACCAUCUACAAUUGACCAACAAAGUGCAGAUACUUCUCAGCAUUCAAAGCCUAAACAAUCAGGAUGGAGACGUAUAAAGCAUUCAAUGCUUCAUGUUGGCAGGACGAUACCAGGUAUUUCACUGACAGGUGAAAUAGCAGAGUGACGGGACAGAGUGAUCAAGGCAGAGUGAUCUAAAGGACACAGUAGUACUUCUUUAGGACCCUGGCAGAAUGGAAGAGAGCAUCUGGCUUCUAAGGCACUGCACAAACUUGAAUGAUCUUCUUCAGAAUUGACAAGGAAAGGCCAUGUUAUGUUCACCCUGGGUUAAGUUUUAAGUGUAUCUUAUUUAAUUUUUUUCAAUAUGAGUCAUCUCCAGAUACUGUGAUGAUUUCCAAAUAACCAGAAUCUAGAUGACUAGAAAUUUACUCUAGCUGGCUUUAGACAGGAAGCGUGAGGACAGAAUCCAGCUGCUUCCACUCCAGGGUAGGUCUGAAGCCAACCGUCCUCGGUUUCCUGGCCUGUGGCAUCAGUCUGGUUGGAUUACACACAAAGCCCUGCAGAUCUGCUGCUUUUCCUGAUUCUCCUGUCCUGAGUGAGUGCAAGGGGCUCCCCUGUCGCCGAUGUGUUCUUUGAAGCAGAUGCUGUGCCUGAUACCUGCUGGAGAGUCCCACCGCCUUGAGCUUCUGGGUCGAGAAAGGCCAAGUUGCACACUACUGAGAGACUGCCAUGCACCCCCUGGAGGCCUCAGAACAUUCGACAUGCUCCAGUCAUGGCCACGGCAGUGACUGCUGAUUGCCUAACCCCACAUGUGUUCUCCCCCUUCCCUGAUAAUCAAGCCCCUGAUUUUCAGCUGGGCACAAAAUAAUUCUUCCUAGAACAACUCCACGUGUGUUAUCGCCCUUGCAGCUGGGGGUGGCCACCACUGGGGAGAGGCAGGGUGAAGAGGUCGAAGGAGCCUGAGUUAGCAGGGAUGAGCAGUGGCCAGGUAACCCCAGACCCAUUAUCCUCUGGAUUUCUUUUAUGUGAAACAAUAAAAUGUCUUGUAUUCGA
rnacentral:lncRNA from 1 species